rnacentral:misc_RNA from 1 species
GAUGAAGAACGUAGCGAAAUGCGAUAAGUAAUGUGAAUUGCAGAAUUCAGUGAAUCAUCGAAUCUUUGAACGCACAUUGCGCCCUCUGGUAUUCCGGGGGGCAUGCCUGUUCGAGCGUCAUUAUAACCACUCAAGCUCUCGCUUGGUAUUGGGGUUCGCGGUUCCGCGGCCCCUAAAAUCAGUGGCGGUGCCUGUCGGCUCUACGCGUAGUAAUACUCCUCGCGUCUGGGUCCGGUAGGUCUACUUGCCAGCAACCCCCAAUUUUUACAGGUUGAUCUCGGAUCAGGUAGGGAUACCCGCUGAACUUAAGCAUAUCAAUAAGCGGAGGA